UUAAGCAUAUCAAUAAGCGGAGGAAAAGAAACCAACCGGGAUUGCCUCAGUAACGGCGAGUGAAGCGGCAAGAGCUCAAAUUUGAAAGCUGGCCCCCUGCGGGGUCCGCAUUGUAAUUUGCAGAGGAUGCUUCGGAUCCGGCCCCUGUCUAAGUGCUCUGGAACGGGCCGUCGGAGAGGGUGAGAAUCCCGUCUGGGACGGGGAGUCCGGGUCCAUGUGAAGCUCCUUCAACGAGUCGAGUUGUUUGGGAAUGCAGCUCUAAAUGGGUGGUAAAUUUCAUCUAAAGCUAAAUACUGGCCGGAGACCGAUAGCGCACAAGUAGAGUGAUCGAAAGAUGAAAAGCACUUUGAAAAGAGAGUUAAAAAGCACGUGAAAUUGUUGAAAGGGAAGCGCUUGCGAUCAGACUCGCCUGCGGGGUUCAGCCGGCAUUCGUGCCGGUGUACUUCCCCGUGGGCGGGCCAGCGUCGGUUCGGGCGGCCGGUCAAAGGCCCUGGGAAUGUAGCGCCCUCCGGGGCGUCUUAUAGCCCAGGGUGCCAUGCGGCCUGCCCGGACCGAGGAACGCGCUUCGGCUCGGACGCUGGCGUAAUGGUCGUAAGCGACCCGUCUUGAAACACGGACCAAGGAGUCUAACAUCUACGCGAGUGUUUGGGUGGCAAACCCAUACGCGCAGUGAAAGCGAACGGAGGUGGGAGCCUUUCGGGGCGCACCAUCGACCGAUCCUGAUGUCUUCGGAUGGAUUUGAGUAAGAGCGUAGCUGUGGGGACCCGAAAGAUGGUGAACUAUGCCUGAAUAGGGCGAAGCCAGAGGAAACUCUGGUGGAGGCUCGCAGCGGUUCUGACGUGCAAAUCGAUCGUCAAAUUUGGGUAUAGGGGCGAAAGACUAAUCGAACCAUCUGGUAGCUGGUUCCUGCCGAAGU
rnacentral:rRNA from 1 species